rnacentral:rRNA from 1 species
UAAAAAAAAUUUAUUAAUAAUUUUUGUUUAUAUAGUUAUUAUUAAAAUUAAUUAUAAUUAAAUUUAGUUAAAGUAUUUUAUAAAGAAAAAAUAGUUUUUAUGAUAGUGUAUUAGUAUUGAAAAAGAAUAUUGAAAUAAUUUGAAAAUUAUUUAAUUAAAAAGAAAAUUUUAUUUAUUGUACCUUGUGUAUCAGGGUUUAUCAAAUUAAUAAUAUAUAUAAAUAUUUUCUCGAAUUUAAAAGAUCUAAUUUAAUAUAUAAUUUAAUGUGGAAUAAUUAUAUGUAAUAUUAAAUUAGAAAUGAAACGUUAUUCGUUUUUAAAUUUAUCUAGUUUUUUAAGAAAUAAAUUUAAUUUAGUUAUAAAUUUGUAAAUAAAUAAUUAUUUAAUUAUUUAUAAAUUUAUAAUAAUAUUUUAGGGGAUAAGCUUUAAAAUAAAAAUUUAUAAGUUAAUUUUAAAUUAAAAAUUGUAGGCUUAGAAAUAGCAAUCAUUAAAAAUUAUGUUUUAAUUUAUUAAAUAAUUAUAUUAUUUAAUUUAACUUUAAAUGUUUUAUUAAAAUAUUUAUAUUAAUAUUUAAUAUAAAGAAAUAAUGAUAAAAUUAGUAUAUAAAUUUGUAUAAAUAAAUUUUGAAUAAAAAAUUUUUAUAAUUAAUUCGGCAAAAUUAAUGUUCACCUGUUUAACAAAAACAUGUCUUUUUGUAUUAAAUAAAAAGUCUAACCUGCCCACUGUAAAAUAUAAAGGGCCGCGGUAUUUUGACCGUGCAAAGGUAGCAUAGUCAUUAGUCUUUUAAUUGAAGGCUUGUAUGAAUGGUUGGAUGAAGCAUUAACUGUCUCAUAAAAAUUAAUAUAGAACUUUAUUUUUUAGUUAAAAAGCUAAAAUUUAAUUAGAGGACGAGAAGACCCUAUAGAGCUUUAUAAUUAUAAAAUAAAAAUUAUAAAGAAAAUUUUAAAUUUUAUUGAAGUAAUUAUUUUGUUGGGGUGACAAAAAAAUUUAAUAAACUUUUUUUUAUUAAAACAUUAAUUUAUGAAUAAAUGAUCCAGUUUUAUUGAUUAAAAAAUUAAGUUACCUUAGGGAUAACAGCGUAAUGUUUUUUAAGAGUUCAUAUCGAAAAAAAAGAUUGCGACCUCGAUGUUGGAUUAAGAAUAAAUUUUAGGUGCAGAAGUUUAAAUAUUAGGUCUGUUCGACCUUUAAAUUCUUACAUGAUCUGAGUUCAAACCGGCGUAAGCCAGGUUGGUUUCUAUCCUUAAUAAAUAAAAAUAUUUUAGUACGAAAGGACCAAAUAUUUAAAAUAUUAAUUUUUUUUAUAAGAAUAUAAUUAAAA